UACAGAGGGGGCAAGCGUUGUUCGGAAUUACUGGGCGUAAAGGGCGCGUAGGCGGCCUUCUAAGUCGAACGUGAAAUCCCCGGGCUCAACCCGGGAACUGCGUCCGAUACUGGGAGGCUUGAAUCCGGGAGAGGGAUGUGGAAUUCCAGGUGUAGCGGUGAAAUGCGUAGAUAUCAGGAGGAACACCGAUGGCGAAGGCAGCUUGCUGGGACGGUACUGACGCUGAGACGCGAAAGCGUGGGGAGCAAACAGG
rnacentral:rRNA from 1 species